CUGGAGCCUGAAAUCAAGGGACUGGGACAAGGUCCUCAAGAAGGACAGCUGGGGGCUCCAGCUAGGAAUCAGGCCCAGGAAUAGAGAGCCAAGUGCCUUGGCCCUGGCCAGUGUUGCAUGAAAAGAGACAGGGCUCAGAAGGAGAUGGGGGGAGAGAGGUGGCAAAGGAAUUGGGGGUCUCAAGGCCCAGGUCCACUGCUGGGUGUCAGUGUUGUGGAGCAGGACCUAGGCUGAGGAAGGCCAAAGGCUCAGGUAGGGGCAGGGUUACCUUUUCCCAAAGGGAGCCCAGAGAUCCAAAAGGACUGUUCCAGUCCCCUGGCCCUGGUAAUUCUGGGAAAGGGAUCAGGAAAAGGGGCCUGGCAGGGACAAAGAACCCACAAAGAGCCCAGGCUAGGGACCUAGAGGAGGGCCCAUGCCAGCAGAGAGAAGGGAAGGGCGGGCCUGGGCAGGAGGGCAGCACUAGGGUUCUGCAAUGCAGGGAAGUCAAGGGGAGCAGGGAAGUGGCUCAAGCGAGGGGCCCGCAGUCCAAGCACAGAGUAAGAAGGGCCACAAGAGGCUCAAGUGAGGAGCCAGGCCAGAGAUUGGAGAGCCAAGAGCCAGGACUGGGGCAGGGGACUCAGGACAGUGAACAGGGCUGAGGAGGGAAGGCAGGGGAUCCCCCAGGGUGGAUGCAGGCUUGAGUGCCAUCGCCAUGGCCAGGUGUCAGGGUUCUGGGUGUAGGACCAAGGGCCCAGGGAGGGCAAGGGGCCCAGGUGAGGGGCAGGUCUCUGUUUUCCAUAAGGCACUCUGGCCCAGAUGAGAAUCAAGGGCCAGAGAUGGGGUCAAGGGGACCUGGCAGGGGACAAGGGCCUGGAGAAUGGCGACAGGAGGACAUGGCACAGGGUCGCUGUUGGUGCAGUUGGUGCAGAGAGGGGCAAUAGCCAGGACCCAAGCAAGGAGCCCUGGCAAGGGAAUGACCAGCCAAAAGAGGAUUAGGAAUCCAAGGAGCAGGAUACCAGAACUCCAGGGGAAAGGGCUAGCGGAAGGAUAGGAAGGGUGGUGCUAGGAUGAGGAAAAAGAGGCUGGUGCAAAGGGUAAGGAGGGGAACACAGUAUGGGGCCCAAGCAAGAGGCCCCAGGUCAGACCUGACACCAAGAGACACCACACAAAGCUACACAACACCAGGAAUGUGGUCAGGGGUGCAGGUGAACAGCCAGGCCCAGGGACUGGAGCACAAAGGGUCAGGGUUAG
rnacentral:lncRNA from 1 species